UUCUAUAUUCUCUUUUCAGGUGGGUC
rnacentral:piRNA from 1 species